rnacentral:tRNA from 1 species
GCCUGCAUGGUGUAGUGGUUUGAGCGUUGGACUUCAACUCUGGAGACCAGUGUUCAGUUCCCUGCUCGGCCA